rnacentral:tmRNA from 1 species
GGGGGCGUUUGGUUUCGACGGGGUCGUGGGUUGCACGAUGGCGAGCCGAGCCCCGGGCUCGUAAAACCGGGAACAACAUACGUGCGAAUGACGCACCUGUCGCCCUCGCUGCGUAAGUAGCAGAGACGAAGAAAGCGCAGGCUACGGCCUGACGUCGACCGCUCCCUCGGCCGUGGGGAGCGGACCCGACGCUAAUGCAAGCGGUCUUGCCGCCCGCCGGCGUCUCGGCGGUGGGCGGGACAUUCACCGAGACUGGCCGGCACGGAGCCUGGUCCCAGGGCGCCGCGCAGGUGAGAUCAAUACCGGGACUACGCUCGUAGAGGUCGCACGGAACGCGGCUUCGGACCCGGGUUCGACUCCCGGCGCCUCCAAAU